AGCCCAGCGCAGAACGUUCCGGGGCACUCGCCCUGAGAAUGAAUGUUGCGUUAAGGAUAUUGGCAUACACCCAUGGCAGUUACACUUUGCUAAGUCAGCCUCGAAUGGUUCUCGUGAAGCCGGUAACACGGUGAGACUCCAGGGAGGGUGUUAGACCCGUGUGAAGGUGCAAUCUGCUUGGGCAAGCCGAUAUCCCGAGAGUCGCGUUGUUUGAACAUGCAGCGCUAAGCAGGUCGUAGACUCGAUCUAAGGCUAAAUAUGUCCACAGAACCGAUAGUUAACAAGUACCGUGAGGGAAAGUUGAAAAGCACUCCGUAACGGAGAGUCAAAAGACCGUGAAACCACUCAGAGUAUAAGCCAAUGGUGUCUGGAAGGUCCUGUGCUUACAUCUUGGUGUCAAGGACUCAUGCGAACCUCAGCACUUGCGGGAGCAAUCUCCGUUGCUUUGGUAAGCUUGUCCGCUGAAGCACUCCGUUGACCCACCUGGCUCGUUGUGAGGUGUCCUGAGAGCAAAGCGAAGUGUUAAGAUUGGCUUGGAGUUGGGCGUGGGCGUCUCGAUGCCUUUCGCACUCUCCUUUUCGAGCACUUCUUCAGUUCUAUUCGCACAAAGUGUGGUAGUCUUGGAGUGUGCGCUGCUUGACGCUCUCUGGAACCAUCCUCUGCGACGAAGCUUCAAUGCCUUAGUGAGCGGCCGUCUUCCUCCUCGGGAGUCGGUACAUUGGCGCGGCUUGCACACUGUCGGUGCUCCGCUGUUCAACUCUGGCGCAAGGUGUUACGUCCGAUACCAUUGGUCACGUCUCGAAACACGGGCCAAGGAGUAUAGCGUGUGUGCAAGUCUAAGGGUUCCACAAAACCUGGAGGCGUAGUGAAAGCGAGUUAUGGUGUCUCACUGGACUGAUGGAGAAGGCAGUGAUGCGUGAUCCCGCAAGUCCCGGACUCGUCGUCUGCACUGCUUCGGUUGUGUUAGCGCGAGCACCGCAGAGCACAUACGCUAUGACCCGAAAGAUAGUGAACUAUGCUUGGCGAGGGUGAAGCCCCAGGAAACUGGGGUGGAGGCCCGUAGCCGUUGUGACGUGCAAAUCCA
rnacentral:rRNA from 1 species